rnacentral:rRNA from 1 species
UACGUAGGCAGCGAGCGUUGUUCGGAGUUACUGGGCGUAAAGCGUGCGUAGGCGGUUGUCUAAGUCUGGUGUGAAAUCUCCCGGCUCAACUGGGAGGGUGCGCCGGAAACUGGAUGACUGGAGUGCCGGAGAGGUAAGCGGAAUUCCUGGUGUAGCGGUGAAAUGCGUAGAGAUCAGGAGGAACACCCAUGGCGAAGGCAGCUCUCUGGCUUCACCCUGACGCUGAUGCGCGAAAGCCAGGGGAGCGAACGGG